GGGCGCUUAGCUCAGCUGGUCAGAGCGCUACGUUGACAUCGUAGAGGUCAGAGGUUCGAAUCCUCUAGCGCCCACUA
rnacentral:tRNA from 1 species